UACGUAGGUGGCAAGCGUUGUCCGGAAUUACUGGGCGUAAAGGGUGCGUAGGCGGAUAUUUAAGUAGAAAGUGAAAGGUUGGAGCUCAACUCCAACAUUGCUUCCUAUACUGGAUGUCUUGAGUUUCGGAGAGGCAGAUGGAACGACACGUGUAGCGGUGACAUGCGUUGAUAUGUGUCGGAACACCAAUAGCGAAGGUAAUCUUCUGGACGAAUACUGACGCUGAGGCACGAAAGCCACGGUAGCGAACAGG
rnacentral:rRNA from 1 species